rnacentral:lncRNA from 1 species
ACAUCUAUUGCUGGACAUUGGGGCCGGUGCUGGGCGUGCAUCAACGGAGCAUUUGGACGCACGGCGCGUGAGUUGUGUUCGGCACGUGCGGUUAGGUUGGAUCCCUGCUCGAGCAGCGACGUCCUGACCCGCCUGCCAUCUCAGUCGCGGGGCAAGCGCAAUGCAGGCUUGCUCGAAGUCGGUUUUCUGUGCUGCAUACCUAAUGCCCAGGCAUUAUCAAGUUUUAUCGACCGCCUUUCGCCCCUCGCAUUUCGUGCGCGGGGCGAAUCGAAAGGCCGCCCUCGCGUCCCACGCCUCCCUCGCUUCGUCGUGCGAUGUCGUGGUCCGUGAGCGGCGGUCGGGAUUCUCGGAUGCGGUAGACGCAGCGGGCAUGGGGCCUUCAUCGGCUCCUAUCUGCCCCGUACGAUGCUCCUUGCAAACGACGGUCGCGCUCGCCUUGAAUCCGUCUGCGCCCUCGCGGCCAGGCCGGGCUCAUGCGACGCCGGCGUCGAUGAGGAAUGCUACCUGGUUGAU